rnacentral:rRNA from 1 species
GACGAACGCUGGCGGCGUGCCUAAUACAUGCAAGUAGAACGCAGUUGCGAACGGGUGAGUAACGCGUAGGUAACUGCCUCAUAGCGGGGGAUAACUAUUGGAAACGAUAGCUAAUACCGCAUACUGUGAGAUGGACCUGCGUGGUAUUAGCUAGUUGGUGAGGUAAAGGCUCACCAAGGCGACGAUCCAUAGCCGACCUGAGAGGGUGAUCGGCCAAACAGGGAAUGGGGAAACGCCCAAGCUCCUUCGGGAAGGAAGAGUAGGGGAACUUUGGAAAUGGGGGGAAGUCUGACCAAGCAACGGCGCGGGAGUGAAGGAGGGUUUCGGAUCGUAAAGCUCUGUUGUUAGAGAAGCGGUAACCAACCAGGAAGGGACGGCUAACUACGUGCCAGCAGCCGCGGUAAUUC